UACGUAGGGACCGAGCGUUGUCCGGAAUCAUUGGGCGUAAAGAGCGUGUAGGCGGCCACUUAAGUCCUGCGUGAAAUCUUGCGGCUCAACCGCAAGCGGUCGUGGGAAACUGGGUGGCUAGAGUGCGGGAGAGGAGAGUGGAAUUCCUGGUGUAGCGGUGGAAUGCGCAAAUAUCAGGAAGAACACCCGUGGCGAAGGCGGCUCUCUGGAACGCAACUGACGCUGAGACGCGAAAGCGUGGGGAGCAAACAGG
rnacentral:rRNA from 1 species